CUUGGAAUUCACAUUUCCUGCAGCCUGCAGGCCAUGCUGGGGCUCUGGCCCAGGAACUGUGCUUUAGAAGAGAUGGUAGAACGUAGCAUGUGCUGUGAGAUCCCUCCAAGCUGGGAAGGACCCAGGGGCAGGGGCAGGAGGACCGCCACCUGGCUUCACCAUGAAGGGCCCAAGAGCAUGGCAUGGAGGGAGAGGCAGAUCUAGAGAGAACACCGGCUGGUCUGCGGAGGGAGGCGGAGGAACGGGUUGAAGAGGGAAGAAUUCCUGACACAAACUCUGAAAUGACAAAGGAAAAGAAUGACAAAUCUGAUUACACUAACAUGAGCAACUUCCAAAGACCAAUCACAAGAAACAAAACAAUCACAAAGUCCCCACCAACAUGGCUGAAAGUAAAACAAUUAGCUGAGAAGAAAUAUUUGUCACCUACAGACCAUGUCACAGAGGAUUUUAUUUUAAAGCACCCUACAAAUCACUAAGAAAAAAGCCCCAAAGAAAUAGCAAUCUGGAAAAGGUUAAAAAGAAAUAGCAAUCUGGAAAAGGAUACAAAGAGAGAAUGUGCAGAAGAAGUGCCAGCAGCUGCAAAACCCACGUUCCACAAAAUCCUGGAUCAAACAGGCAGGAGACAGCAUGACAAGGUGCCACUCUCUGCCCAUCGGGUCGGCACGGAUUUAAAAACAAGGACCCGGUAUUGCCAAGGAUGUGGGGAAAGAGCCCUGUGGGUGAGGGCGUCAGUUGGACAAUGGCUGUCAACUUCUAGAAUAAUCAUGUGUGCUUCCCUUUGAUCCAAGAAUCCUGCUGGGGGGAAUUAUUCCUGUAGAAAUGUUUGCUCAGGUGUGCGAAGACACCUGCGUAAGACUUUUCAUCUCAGCAUUGUGUGUGAUGCUGAUGCCACAGCGUGGUGCCAAGACACCUCCUGGAGAGGACCCAGAAGGUGUCUAGGCACCACGCUGUGGCAUCAGCAUCACACACAAUGCUGAGAUGAAAAGUCUUACGC
rnacentral:lncRNA from 10 species